rnacentral:rRNA from 1 species
UUAAGCCAUGCAAGUCGAACGAGUUUAGGCUCGUGGCGUACGGCUCAGUAACACGUGGAUAACCUACCCUUAGGACUGGGAUAACCCUGGGAAACUGGGGAUAAUACUAGAUAGGCAAUUUUUCCUGCAAUGGUUUUUUGUUUAAAUGUUUUUUUCGCCUAAGGAUGGGUCUGCGGCCGAUUAGGUAGUUGGUUAGGUAAAGGCUUACCAAGCCGUUGAUCGGUACGGGUUGUGAGAGCAAGAGCCCGGAGAUGGAACCUGAGACAAGGUUCCAGGCCCUACGGGGUGCAGCAGGCGCGAAACCUCCGCAAUGUGAGAAAUCGCGACGGGGGGAUCCCAAGUACCAUUCUUAACGGGAUGGCUUUUCAUUAGUGUAAAGAGCUUUUGGAAUAAGGGCUGGGCAAGACCGGUGCCAGCCGCCGCGGUAA